UUAAAGGUAAGUUAAAUUUUAAACUUUUAGACUCAUAAUCUAAUAAUAGACCUUAAUCUUCUUUAAA
rnacentral:tRNA from 1 species